UACGUAGGGGGCAAGCGUUGUCCGGAUUUAUUGGGCGUAAAGAGCGUGUAGGCGGCCAAGCAGGUCCGCUGUGAAAACUCGAGGCUCAACCUCGAGACGUCGGUGGAAACCGUUUGGCUAGAGUCCGGAAGAGGAGAGUGGAAUUCCCGGUGUAGCGGUGAAAUGCGCAGAUAUCGGGAAGAACACCCGUGACGAAGGCGGCUCUCUGGAACGGUACUGACGCUGAGACGCGAAAGCGUGGGGAGCGAACAGG
rnacentral:rRNA from 1 species